rnacentral:sRNA from 1 species
ACGUAUAUAUAUGGGAGAUAUAUCUAAAUCUUAACCGAUCUUUUUCCAAUUUCAAUAGGCUUGGUCUCUAGGCUGACAAACUUGUCCAUACGAAAUCUGCAGACGAUGGGAUGAAAAUUGCAACCUGUUUGUAUACAAAUUAACAUGGACAGACGAGCAUAGCUAAAUCGAAUCAGAAAGUGAUUCUGUGUCGAUCGGUAUACUAUCAAUAGGUCUAUCUCUUUUCCUUUUGGUGUUAUGAUAUAUCUACCUAGUUAUUUUUAAUUUAUUUUUUUAACUAGGUACCUAUUAUAUUUUUUAAAUUUCUAACUGAAAAUACACCACCUACUUGCAAUCUUUUGCAGAGUGUAUACUGACAGGGUUUGAAUUGCUAACUUCAAAAUGGAGGCAGCAAAGCAAAAAUAACUCCAUUGAAAAAUGUUCAAGCAAUUCAAACCCUGCUGAGCUCUUAUAAAAGCGAAACAUUUGUUUCCAAGUAGCAAUAACAACAUGUGUCGCGCGACUGCCGAAACACGCGUUUUUCAUUAUAACAAAAACUGUGGGAAUAACAUUACACUCAAGAGCUCUUUUUUAUUUCUUAUGUAGUACUCCCUCGUUUAAGUUUUUGAGUGAAAACUUCAUGAGAAAUUAAAUUUCAAGAGAAACAUUGACCGUUACAAUGAGAGUGCCAAAGAGAAGCGAAGUUACAAAACGAAACUAUCUUUAAUGCAAGUGAGUGAGUGAUAGACAAUCAAACCGAGUUCUCAUCUUUUUUCCUACAUUAAUGAGAUAACCUUUACUUUUUGGUUGAUUGGGGCUCUGAAAAAUAUUGAUAUGUACCUAUUUGUAUUGUGCAUUGAUUUCUUUAUAGCCCCAAAAGAUUGAUUAUCAAUAAAAUUUUGCAAACAAUGACCACAUA